UACUUUUACAGCGCUUAAGGUUCCUGGUGCUUGCCAUCGGGAUUAAAAGGGAAUGCAGUGUAAAUCUGUAACUGUCCCGCAGCUGUAAGUUCCGUUAAACCAAUGCCCAUUCUUUUGGCCACUGUCCCGACGUAAAGUCGGGGUGGGAAGGCAGGGCAGAGGGGAGCAAGUCAGAAUACCUGCCUCGGCAUUAUAAUUAUU
rnacentral:ncRNA from 1 species